rnacentral:misc_RNA from 1 species
GUUCUUGAUGGUGAUGGAAGGCCUACAAAAAUAAGCAUAUCCAGCUUUUAAGUACUGCAAAUGAGCACAGUACAAAGGGAUUUGAAAUUUGGAAUAUAGGGUGCUACUGAGCACAAAGUCAGAGUUUAUUAUAUUGGUAUCUGAAUAGUGACAAUUUGUAGAAAUUGCAGGUUCUAAUGUCAUUUGUCCCUAAACAUUCAGCUGGCUGAUACAUUUAGACUCUUUACCAACUUUUACCCUCUAGUCAGGAUUUUGCCAGCCACCUGAGUUUUCUUGCAAUCUUUUUAUUUUUUGCUCUUCCUCUUUUGCAAUCUUGUUUUCUUCUUUUGCCUGCCCACUGUCCAAAGGGCAGAUCAUGUACACUCUCUACAUUCUACUGACAUGCCAUUACACCUUUUUUCUUUUUUAAUAACCGAGUAAAAUAUAAUUUGAACAUUAAAUGAACCAACCUUCUGAUCCAUCCAAAUUGCUUAUGCUAUCCGGCAAGACAAAUGCAUUAUGAUUCCCUCCAAUGACAUGAGCACGACUUGGAGAUGCCAGUGCAGAUACUUUUCCAUUAUCACUGAUAUCAAAUAGGUGGUUAUCUGCAACAUCACUUGUAAUGACCUCUGAAUUCGUAACUAGUACUGAAGGGCUAUUUAGGUUCUCAAAACUAAGAGCAUUAAGCAACUCAAGCGGUUG